rnacentral:misc_RNA from 1 species
GUAGGUGAACCUGCGGAAGGAUCAUUAAUGGUGCUUGCAGAAAUGCUUGCACGGCGGCGGCCUUAAAACGCGCCAAAUGGCACCCUUUGUUUAUGAGUACCGUUCGUUUCCUCGGUGGGCUUGCCUGCCACGAGGACCAACAAAAACCUUUGUAGUAGCAGUAUCUUCAGUAAAAACAAAUAUUAAAACUUUCAACAACGGAUCUCUUGGUUCUGGCAUCGAUGAAGAACGCAGCAUCACUGAAAGCGAU